CGCGAAUGAUGAUACAAUUUACCAGUUCUGCUACUGAAUGGAAGUGACGACACUAUACCAAUAUUCUGAUCG